GUGCUGUCUCGGGGCACGCGUUUGUUUUCACGCCGACCCCGCAGAAAUUAAGUAUGCAGGAAAGUGGACAAAAAAAAAAAAGAGGCGUGAGGAAGAGAAGUGUAUUACUAAAAUAAAUAAUGCGUAUUACGAGAACAGCGAGAUAGGAGAUACGUGUGUCUGUUCAUUCAAAUUUAUGCGAUGGCUAAUGAGAGGAUUCUGAAAGGAGAGAUUCCCGGCGCGAAAGACGUUCAGGAAGACACGCUCUCGGAUACUUCAGCUGCUCGAAAACCCGUCGAUGUAUCCGAUGUCUGAGGGGGAGUACAGAACAGGUUUAAGAACGCUGCGGCUGACCGAACUUCAAAUCCGCUCUUCUACGGCCGAAGUCAGAAACGGGCGCUCCGAAAUCAAUUCGUUUUCUUUCGCAUGGAAUCACGUUCGGCAAUCGAAACUAUUCGUAAUUUCGAUGAGUUCUGGAUGUUGCACGCUAGGAGCAAGCCGAAAUUAAUGUUGCACUUUGUCAACGAACAAGGGAUGACUCUGAAUUGAAUUGCUAUAAAAUUUAUGUAAUACUGAUAUAACAAAAAGAGAACACAAACAUAAUUUCGACGAGUCGAGUUUUUUAAGACACAGAUUCGACGUUAUGUAAGAUAAGAUAAGAAAAUACAUAGAUAAGAGAUGUAGAAAA